GCCAGUUCAAAAUAGCUGGUUCAGUGCAUCCCGAUUUUACAUCGGGAGGGUCACUGGUUCGAACCCAGUAACUCCCACAA
rnacentral:tRNA from 1 species